rnacentral:rRNA from 1 species
GAUGAACGCUGGCGGCGUGCCUAAUACAUGCAAGUCGAGCGAACGGACGAGAAGCUUGCUUCUCUGAUGUUAGCGGCGGACGGGUGAGUAACACGUGGAUAACCUACCUAUAAGACUGGGAUAACUUCGGGAAACCGGAGCUAAUACCGGAUGAUAUUUUGAACCGCAUGGUUCAAAAGUGAAGGACGUUCUUGCUGUCACUUAUAGAUGGAUCCGCGCUGCAUUAGCUAGUUGGUAAGGUAACGGCUUACCAAGGCAACGAUGCAUAGCCGACCUGAGAGGGUGAUCAGCCACACUGGAACUGAGACACGGUCCAGACUCCUACGGGAGGCAGCAGUAGGGAAUCUUCCGCAAUGGGCGAAAGCCUGACGGAGCAACGCCGCGUGAGUGAUGAAGGUCUUCGGAUCGUAAAACUCUGUUAUUAGGGAAGAACAUAUGUGUAAGUAACUGUGCACAUCUUGACGGUACCUAAUCAGAAAGCCACGGCUAACUACGUG